rnacentral:rRNA from 1 species
UGCCGGGACCAUCCGGUAAGGCUAAAUACUCCCGAGAGACCGAUAGCGAACCAGUACUGUGAAGGAAAGGUGAAAAGAACCCCGAGCAGGGGAGUGAAAUAGUUCCUGAAACCAUGCGCCUACAAGCGGUCGGAGCAUCGUAAGAUGUGACGGCGUGCCUUUUGCAUAAUGAUCCUACGAGUUACCGUCACUGGCGAGGUUGAGUGUCAUGAGACACGUAGCCGCAGUGAAAGCGAGCCUGAAGAGGGCGCACAGUCAGUGGGGGUAGACGCGAAACCAAGUGAUCUACACUUGGCCAGGAUGAAGUCCCGGUAACACGGGAUGGAGGUCCGCACCAAUAAGCGUUGAAAAGCUUCUGGAUGAGCCGAGUGUAGGAGUGAAAGGCCAAUCAAACUUGGAGAUAGCUCGUACUCCCCGAAAGGCAUUUAGGUGCCGCGUCGGAUGGUCACCGUGAGAGGUAGAGCGACCGAUAGGACAAGAGGGCUUCACCGCCUAUCGAGUCCUGACGAACUCCGAAUGCUCACGGUCUGCAGUCCGGCAGUAAGGGGGCGGGUGCUAAGGUCCGUCCCCGAGAGGAGAAGAAUCCAGACCGCCGUCUAAGGUCCCGGAGUUCUGCCUGAGUUAGUCUAACGAAGUCUGGUCCCUAUGACAGCUAGGAUGUUGGCUUGGAAGCAGCCAUUCAUUCAAAGAGUGCGUAACAGCUCACUAGUCGAGGGUCCGGGCAUGGAUAAUAAUCGGGUAUAAGGCAGACACCGAAGGCGCGGGAUAGCAAUUAUAAAAGUAUCGGUAGGGGAGCAUACUCACAGCGUCGAAUGGUGUACGUAAGUUAUCCUGGAGCGGUGAGUAAAGCAAAUGUAGGAAUAAGUAACGAUAAGGAGGGUUAGAUUCCCUCCCGCUGUAAGACCAAGGUUUCCCGGGCAAUGCCAAUCAGCCCGGGGUCAGUCGGGUCCUAAGUCUAAGCCGAACGGCGAUGGCGAUGGCAGAGACGGUUAAUAUUCCGUCACUGCCGCAUGGGGCGACGUGGAGACGGAGCAGUGAAACCACCGCGGGGCGACGGAAGUCCCCGUUGAAGGGUGUAGGUGUUGAGGAGAGCAGGCAAAUCCACUCUCCGAGCUGAACCUGAUAGUACGGAGUCCUCCUCGGAGGAAUCUGAUAGUGUGGGUAAUCAUACUCCCGAGAAAAUCCGCUAAGCUUAACCCAUGCGGCACCCGUACCGCAAACGGACACACGUGGUCGGGUAGAACAUACUAAGGCGUUGAGAGAUUCAUGGUUAAGGAACUAGGCAAAUUGACCCUGUAACUUCGGGAUAAAGGGUCCUCGUGAUGAGCGAGGCGCAGAGAAUAGGUCCAGGCAACUGUUUAACAAAAACACAGGGCUGUGCAAACUCGAAAGAUGACGUAUACAGCCUGACACCUGCCCGGUGCCGGAAGGUUAAGAGGAGAUGUCACUAGCAAUAGGAAGCAUUGAAUUGAAGCCCCGGUAAACGGCGGCCGUAACUAUAACGGUCCUAAGGUAGCGAAAUUCCUUGUCGGGUAAGUUCCGACCUG